rnacentral:sRNA from 12 species
GAACGUUGAAGCGGUUGGCGUUCCGAUUGCGUUGGGCCGUGGAGUUCUCGGAGGGGUUUUGCAACAACCUCAAGUCGGAUAGGCUGAAAGGCCGAAAGAAAAUGCAACGA